AGCAGCCGCGGUAAUUCCAGCUCCAAUAGCGUAUAUUAAAGUUGUUGCAGUUAAAAAGCUCGUAGUUGAAUUUCGGGAUUAGUACGCUGGUCGUGCCUUCGGUAUGUACUGGUGUUACUGAUUCCUACCUUCUGACGAACCGUCAUGUCAUUCAUUUGGUGUGGCGGGGAAUCAGGACUGUUACUUUGAAAAAAUUAGAGUGUUUAAAGCAGGCUCGCGCUUGAAUACAUUAGCAUGGAAUAAUGAAAUAGGACGUUCGAUCCUAUUUUGUUGGUUUCUAGGGUUGACGUAAUGAUUAAUAGAGAUAGUUGGGGGCAUUAGUAUUCAAUUGUCAGAGGUGAAAUUCUUGGAUUUAUUGAAGACUAACUACUGCGAAAGCAUUUGCCAAGGAUGUUUUCAUUAAUCAAGAACGAAAGUUAGGGGAUCGAAGACGAUCAGAUACCGUCGUAG
rnacentral:rRNA from 1 species